GUUGGGAAUAUUGGACAAUGGAGGAAACUCUGAUCCAGUGACGCCGCGUGAAGGAAGAAGGUCUUCGGAUUGUAAACUUAUUUUGUCAGGGAAGAAAAAAAUGACUGUACCUGAAGAAAAAGCACCGGCUAACUACGUGCCAGCAGCCGCGGUAAUACGUAGGGUGCAAGCGUUAUCCGGAUUUACUGGGUGUAAAGGGCGAGUAGACGGCGAUGCAAGUCAGAUGUGAAAUGCUAGGGCUUAACCUUAGAACUGCAUCUGAAACUGUAUUGCUAGAGUGCAGGAGAGGUAAACGGAAUUCCUAGUGUAGCGGUGAAAUGCGUAGAUAUUAGGAGGAACAUCAGUGGCGAAGGCGGUUUACUGGACUGUAACUGACGUUGAGGCGCGAAAGCGUGGGGAGCAAACAGG
rnacentral:rRNA from 1 species